CUCCACUGUUUCCCAACAAAAAGGGCAUUCAGGAAGAGGGAGGAGGCUCCCAGGGCCUGGAGAGCGGCUUUGGGGCAGUGAAUGGGCCCAGUGGCCUCCCGUGUCAAUGGCUCUGUGGGAAAGGCAGUGAUGUCACCGCGAAUGCAUUUUCGGGCCUGGCCUGCCUUCCCUGCUCCCGUCCUCCCCUCCAGCCCGGAGGCCAGCUCUGUUAGUUCCCCAAGUGCAGAGCUCAAAUACCCAGAGGCCCGCAGCACGCUGCUGCCAUGGCAACGCAGCCUUCGACACUUUAUGAUUUUGCAUAAAAAGUAGAAAAGACUUGAAAGGAAAGGGCAAGAACCAGAGGGACGAAGCCGGUGCUGGGCUCUGGUGCUGGGUGGACAGAAGCGGAGAGGACUAAGCUGGGGAGACCCCGAGAGCCAGUGAGGGCCUCUGGGAAGCAAAUGUCCACGCAGGAGAGGGACGCCCUGACAGAUGGCAGGGGAGGAGACCAACAAAGUUUUCACAGGAACAGCUCGGCGUAGGUGAAAGAGUGGGAAGAACGAGCGAGAAGGGAAGUGGGGGAAGACUUCGGAGAGGACGUCGUCUUGGAGGCAGAAAAAGGGACUUGGAGCAGACUGGUACAGAGAAGCUGAUAUGAAGAAACACAGGGAGAAGACAAUACCCACAAGCUAUGGGUGAGGCUGGAACAGGUCCUUCCUCUCUACCCAGUGGGACGACCCCUGACUUCACACUUCAGCCACAGUUUACAGUUCUGUGUAUCUUCCAACAAAGUUGAACAAGUACAUUAAAAUAGACUGAAGAUCA